GCCGAAGUGGUGGAAUUGGCAGACACGCUAGCUUGAGGGGCUAGUGAGCAUUACCCGCUCGUAGGGGUUCGAGUCCCCUCUUCGGCA
rfam:Candidatus Aminicenantes bacterium RBG_13_63_10 RBG_13_scaffold_2936, whole genome shotgun sequence.